GCAUUAAUAGACACUCAAAGGGGUGUCUAUUAAUUGACACCAAGGAUUUCUAAAUUUAGAAAAUUUUAAGUUUAUUCUGAUAUUGAUUACUAGAUUAAAACAUAUUAUCAAGGCCAUGCAAAGAAUAAGCAUAAUAAAAUGUGCCUGAAGAGGUGUGAGGGCUGAUGUAGGUUCAAGCCCAGCCUGUGCUGCAAGGCGAGGACAAGGCCACCCUUGCAUCCGUCAUGAACCCAUCUCAGAACAAAGUGAUAGGAAGUCUGUAAGUUAGAGUCUUCCAACAACUCUUUUGUGUUUUCAAUUUCAAAUAACUGUUGUUUAAUUGACAUUGCUUUGACUUAAAUUGUCAGGCAGCUAAAGACAGUUUUAUCUAUUAAUUGAGUCACUAUUACUUUUAAAACUCUCCUUUCCCCAUUUCUGAUGUGAGUCUGGGUUCAGGAUCUUGCAUAUUUUAUUCUAGUAUUAUCCUUUACUUUUAAAUAUUUUAAAAAAUAUUGUUAUCUAUAUGUGUGUGUCUGUGUGAGUGAAUUAUGUGUAUGUGUGUGCAUGCACAUUACCUGAGAGGCCAGAAGAGAGAACAUUGUGUUUUGGAGGUGAAGUAACAUGUAUUUGCGAGCCCCACCCAGUAUGGGCAUUUUGGAAGAUCAACAGGUGCUCCUAACCACCAUCUCUCUAUUUAAUCCCAGUCAGCGUGUACGUCUCUAACCUGAGGGGGGGGUAGGGGAUGGGUGGUACUGUCUCAAACUCAGGCCCUUGUGAUGCUGUGCUGGUGAAGACUGCUACAAACUGUAUUCCCACCUCAUUACUGGGAUUUUUUUUUUUUUUAACUUUUUCUAGCAUGGUGGUGGUGGUAGCACAUUCCUUUAAUCCCAGCAUUCAGGAGACAGAAAUAAGUGGUGGUAGGUGGGGUGUCUCAGUGAGUUUGAGAUCAGCAUGGUCUACAAGUUCCAGGACAGCCAGUACACAGGGAAAAACCUUACUGGAAAAACAAACAAAUACACAAAACCUUUUUCUCUUCCCUGUUUCCUGAGAAAUGUAUUCAGACAGGAAGACCAGAACAUUGCUCUUCGUCUUUUUGUUUAUAAGCAUUGGAGAGCAGAGUGGUGCUCCUCGGCUGAUAGCAAUCCUGGAGACAGUCUGUGGUAUGUGUGCAGAAGUCAGGCUCAAAGUGCACUUCUUAAAGGCCUGCCUGGGAAGUUGCUACGCAGCUAGUAUCUGAGAAGUAGAGUGUUGAAAACUUUCCAGUCUUCUUCAACUGGUUAGUUUUUGCUAAGAAGCUCUUUUGCAGUGGUGUUUGCUACAUAGUCUGUUUUUUCCAGACUUUACAAUUCUGUUGUGCUAGAACAUCACCCUUGAUACCAGUCUCUGGUAAACCUUGGGCACCCAGCCUUCAUAGGCUUCUCCUUGUCUGUAAAUUACACACAUAGCUGGGGGCAGAGUGUACUCGUGGUCCAUACCAUAACACAUCAUUAAUUCCUUUAGACUCUCAUAGUGUCUUUUUCUCUUGUAGUUGAUUUUGCAUCACAGUGAUUAAUCUUAGCUAUUAGUAGAUCUGUAUGCUGAGCAGAAUACAGUCUGAUGACUUCCUGGAUGUGUGGAAGUGUCUUGGAUUCAAUCAACAUGGUUUUGUCACUAAAUUCACUGAAGGAAUAUAUUAAGGAUGAUAUUGUAAAGCAGCUUUGCUUAUAAGUUCUUAGUGUGUCUCUGAUGGUGUUACUUUUAAAUGUCUUUAGAAACCAGAGGUUUGCUCUGCGUUCGGGACAGUUCCCUAGCUUGUUCUGUGUUGACAAAGAGGGCUGGCAUCUAUAGGCAUAAGUUGUUGAAGCUUCCAAGGAGUGAAGAGAAUUCUGUCUCUUGGUUUUUUUCUAAAUCACCUUUAGCACAUUCAGCUUAAAACUUCACACAAACUUUUAUAGUUUUGUGUUUGGAUACUUUACAUUGUUGUCAGAUUUCUUCUCAAGUAGUAUCCUAAUUGAUGUCUGUAAAGAGGCAGCAUUUCUCUGAUUCACUCUUUCUGUUGUAUAGAUACAUAAAGCCAGUAUAUUUUCUAUAAAUGUUAGUUUUAUUUCUGGCUUAUCUUUUCACAUAUACUAGCUUGGCUCAUAGUUUGAUAUCAUACAGAAUCGGGCAUUUGACUUUUUUGUCUUACUUCCAGUUUUAAAAUUAGUUUUUCCCAGUUUUAUAUGAUGAUCAUUCUGGGAAUCUUAGAUGCGUUUGUUUCUGAGGAAACAUCUAUUUAAAAAUUUCCCAUUGAAGAAAGUACUUUGCCAGGCGUGGUGGUGCAUGCCUUUAAUCCCAGCACCCAGGAGGCCAGAGGCAGGUAGAUUUCUUAGUUCGAGGCUCGCCUGGUCUACAAAGUGAGUUGCAGGACAGCCAGGGCUAUAUAGAGAAACCCUGUCUCG
rnacentral:lncRNA from 1 species